CUGACAUGUCUACAGAUGUACCUAUUCUAUAUGAUUAAGAAACAUCUAGAACCCCUUGCAUACCAUCUGCACCACCUCAAUGCAUAUUGACUUUAUGGUUUACAUUCAGGGAUGGGGGUGUUGGCAGGGGAUAGAA